AUUGAACGCUGGCGGCAUGCUUUACACAUGCAAGUCGAACGGUAACAGGCCUUCGGGUGCUGACGAGUGGCGAACGGGUGAGUAAUGCAUCGGAACGUGCCCAGAGGUGGGGGAUAACGCAGCGAAAGCUGUGCUAAUACCGCAUGUGAUCUGAGGAUGAAAGCGGGGGACCAGGCAGCAAUGUUUGGCCUCGCGCCUUUGGAGCGGCCGAUGUCAGAUUAGGUAGUUGGUGGGGUAAAGGCCUACCAAGCCAACGAUCUGUAGCUGGUCUGAGAGGACGACCAGCCACACUGGGACUGAGACACGGCCCAGACUCCUACGGGAGGCAGCAGUGGGGAAUUUUGGACAAUGGGCGCAAGCCUGAUCCAGCAAUGCCGCGUGCGGGAAGAAGGCCUUCGGGUUGUAAACCGCUUUUGUACGGAACGAAAAGGCUCUGGCUAAUACCUGGGGCUGAUGACGGUACCGUAAGAAUAAGCACCGGCUAACUACGU
rnacentral:rRNA from 1 species